AAAAAAAAAAACAAAGGUCAACUUUUAGUUUUCUUGAGUCAUCAAUCUUUAGUUUUCUUGAAAUCAGGGGUCCCGCCUGGAGAAUAGGGUCAGUUUUUAGUUUAGUCAAGCUUACUUUAUAGUUUUCUGCAAGCUCAAUCUCAAAUUUAGGAGAUGCACUUCCUAGUUUGGGUUUUUCAGAUUUUUAUUUCUUUAGAAGACGCACAUCAUAGUCGAGUCUUCAAUUUUGUUCUCAUCAUUGCAUCCUUCAUCAAUAGCAUAGAUAAUUUAUAGUUCUGCUAAUAACUCACAAAUCUUCCUAGUGUAAACUGGGGCAGAAAAAGUUUCUUUUGUUGUUUCCAUUUUGUUGUAGUUGCAGGCGCCCACCUGGAGAACGAGGGAAUUAAUUUCAAGUUUUAAAGUCAUCAGGCACCCAAUGAGGGAAUUUGUUUUAAUUUUUAAGUCAGCACAGGCGCCCACUGGAGAAUGAGGGAGUUUAUUUCAAGUUUUUAAGUAAGCAGGCACCCACCUGGAGAAUGAGGGAAUUUAUUUUAAGUUCAAGUCAGUCAUCAGGCGCCCACCUGGAAAACAAGGGAAUUUAUUUCUGUUUUAAGUCAGCACAGGCGCCCACCUGGAGAAUGAGGGAGUUUAUUUCAAGUUUUUAAGUAAGAAGGCACCCACCUGGAGAAUGAGGGAAUUUAUUUUAAGUUCAAGUCAGUCAUCAGGCGCCCACCUGGAAAACGAGGGAAUUUAUUUCUGUUUUAAGUCAGCACAGGCGCCCACCUGGAGAAUGAGGGAGUUUAUUUCAAGUUUU
rnacentral:lncRNA from 1 species